rnacentral:rRNA from 1 species
UACGGAGGGUGCAAGCAUUAAUCGGAUUUAUUGGGCGUAAAGCGCACGUAGGCGGCUUUGCAAGUCGGAUGUGAAAUCCCUCGGCUCAACCAAGGAAGUGCAUCCGAAACUGCAGAGCUUGAGUACUUAAGAGGAUCGCGGAAUUCCCGGUGUAGAGGUGAAAUUCGUAGAUAUCGGGGAGGAACACCAGUGGCGAAGGCGGCGAUCUGGGGAAGAUACUGACGCUGAGGAGCGAAAAGCGUGGGGGAGCGAAACAGGG